AUGAAUCCCCUGGAUCCUGAAAUUUCUUCGGGAUGGGGCUGGAUCCAGUCCCAGGCUGGGAGAGCCGGGAAUGUGCAGCUGGAUCAGGGAAAGAUCCAGGGAAUCCUCGGAGCCGCUUCCCGAGCCUCGGGGAGCUCCAGGAGAGCUGGGAUUUGGGAAUGGCUUCCCACUGGGAAACAGGGUGGGAUCCUGGGAAGGAAUUCCCAGCUGGCACAGGCAACCUCCUGCUUCCAGGAUUUAUUGAAUUCCCAAAAAUCCCCCAUUUCCAGAGGAGCCCGACAUGGAAAAAUCCCUUUUCCCGCCUGGGCUGAGCCGGGAUUUCCGAUUCCCGGAACGAUUUUGGGGACAAACACGGAAUUUCCGAGGGGAACGGAACUGAGGGAGCGGAUCCAGCCGGGAUUUCACCUUUCCCUGGAUAAACGCAGCCCCCGGAUCUCUGCCAGCCGUGGGAUUUGUCCCAUGGAAAAACACGGAAAUCUCCGGCAUUCCGGGAAGCUCCGAGGCAGGAAAAAACCACGGAAAAACAGAAAACUUACGGGAUUUUUCCCCGCCUUCACCGGGGAAUUCGAGGAAUCGCCACAUCCCUCUUUUUCCUUCAGGAGAGGAGAGGCUGUGGAUGAAGAUACGGAAUUACAUCCCGGGAAAAAUCGGGAUUUCACCCAACGGCAGCAGCGCUCUCAUCCCAAAGCGCGGAAUUCCGGGAGCGGCUCCCGCUGGGAAACGCCUUCCUCGGCUUCCCGAGGGCGCGGCCGAUUCUUGGGAUUUCUGGAAGUGAAAAGCUGGGAAUUUCCUCCCAAAUCCGUCGUUUUCCAGCUUUCCCAUCCGCCAUUCCCAAAUUUUUCGGAUUUCCCUGGAUUUUCACUUUGUUUUUUCCCGGUUCAAUUGUUACUCCUGAGCUGUGGGAAGGAGGGAAAAUCCCAGGGAAUUGUCUCCUCUUCCCGUUUUUAUCCCGCUUUUAUCUCCUCUUCCCGUUUUUUCCCAAGUUUUUUGGGGGAAAAACCCUAA
rnacentral:lncRNA from 1 species